rnacentral:lncRNA from 1 species
AAUAUAACAGAAUAAUAUCUAUAAUACCUAAAAAGCUGGAUUUAAAUUUAUAAGAAAAAAUCUGAAUAGAAGCAGUAAUUCAUCAAAAGAGAAACACCCAAUGCAUUUAAAGGCGCAUCCACAGGCUGGAAGUUCACACUUUGCAGAGCAGCGGGGGCCUCCAGAGGAUCUCGGAGUAUCAUGUUCACCAGUAGGCACUCAGCAGAGAAUCCCUGACAAUAGGAGACAUGAUCCCUCCCCAGGGUGCAGUCCCUGACAUCCCGCCUGCCCCCAUAGUGUCCUCCGUGUAUUUCUCUCGCCGUGCUUGUUACUUUGAGUUCUAAUUAUGUGCUUCCGUAUAGCCAGAUCUUCCUACAUCUGAUUGGAAGCCUCCUGGGGGAAAGAAUCAUACAUGCAUCCCCGUAUUCCUAGCACCCUGAACCAGUCAGUACUUGGCUAGUUAUCCAAUAAGUGGCACGCGCGUUCUUGAUGGAGAGACAGUGAGUGGGUGGUGGGAGGCCAUGGGGUGAGGGGACACAGUGCCGUGAGUCUAAGUAGCCCUCGGAUCUCUUGUGUUCAGGAAAACACUGCCCCUCUCCAGACAUCUCAUUGCAAAGAGUUAAGGGAUGGCACAAGAACUUGGCCCACUCCGGACAAGGCCAUCACUCCUCCCUCCAUCCCCUCCAAACACUGGCAGCCUCAGUGCCCUCGUUUGCUUGAAGACACCCAGGCCAACCCUAGCAUGGCCUGUAUUCCUGUGUAUGUCAGUUGUCAUCGGAAGUUCAGGACAUUCAUCCCAGGAGUUUUAUCUCCAUGAGCAAUGAUGCUGCCGCUGUGUCCUCCAACUCCUGACUCCAUUAAAGAGGCUCUUUUGCUUUAUGGCCUCUGAUCAGAUUCAACCAAUGGAGGCUAUGGCCAGGGGGAAGGAGGAGGCUGAAACUGGGGCACAUAUUUCCCCGAUGUCCUCCUUGCUGGUUUGCUAGAGAUUGCCUUCAUCCCUCUCCAGGCACAGCUCCUUUCCAUCAAGCUUUCUGUAACCACUCUCUCCUCUUGACCCUUUAGGUGGCAGCAGGAUCUAUUUCUUGCCCUUCUUGGCUUCCUGAACUCCUGCCCAUAUUUGCAAAUACUCCUUUUAUCAAACUCUUCUCAGUUACCCAGUUUGAAGAUGCCACCUGUUUACUGCUGAGAUUUUGACUGAUACACUAUCAAUAAUUAGUUGUUACAUGAGUGAAUGACUGAAUCUCUGUAAGAAAAUGGAGAUUUGCAGCAAACAUGGUAGCUGUGGGGACGGUGGCAAUUCCCUCAUUUCAGUAACUUAGCACUAGAAGCAGGGAGGCAGGGAACAGCCACCUACGUCCAGACGGCGAGGACAUAUGGGCCAUCUAGAGGGGGAGGAGGGCACGAAGACCCAUGCACUGAGGCACGGAGCCGACCCUGAAGCCACCACCAGUGGGAACCACAGCAAAGGAGAUACCACCGGCAAGACACGCCAGGAAUCCCAGGGAAGGGACAGAGUGUAGGUCAGGCUGUGAUUUCACAACCCUAGAGGUGGAGGCUGGGCCAGAGAAACGAUGCCUCCUCUCUCACUUCUUCCUCCUGCCCCACCCACUGCUUUCCUGUGGCCUCGCUGAGCUUGGGUGGCACUCGUUAUCGAAGAAAUGAAAAUGAGAACAGCCUGGAUAAUAUUACGGCUGCAAAUUCAGCAGUUAUAUAACUGGUGGAACUAAUAUACCUGUGGACUUCAGUAGCGUUAUAAAUCAAUGCAACUCUUUCAGAAACCUCAGUGACAAUACGUAUUGCAUUUUAAAUAAAAUUUUCUAUCUUGUGACGCUGUAAUCUCCUUCCUAAUGUUCAACCUAAAGGAUGUUUGUGAAGACAAAUUCGCGAUGCUGCAUUAUCCCUAGAGUUGGACAAUGUGUAGUAUAUAAUAUUCAGUAAAAAGAAUACAAUGUAAACAUAUAGGUACAAUGAGCAGAUAUAUAAAACUAGAUAUGCAUCUGGGCAACAUUUGAAGAGAAUAGGCAGAAAUGAAAAGAGUAUCAAUAAUUAUUUUUCCUAAAAUUCUUUAAGGUUGCUAUAAAAUUUUUUCAAUCUAAAUAAAAAAAUAUAUAUGUAUAUAUUUCUAAAUUUUAAGUGGAUACCACAAACAAGGGUCAUAUCACUUUCUUGCCUAUAACCCUUCAAUCCUCCAAUGGUUGCCUCAUGGAAUAAAAAUACUAUGCAAAUUUCUUUCCAUAAUCUUUAAGAUCGGACAUGGCAGGCCUCUGAUACCACUUGGAUCUUGUCUGCUGUUUCUUUUCCCCUGUCUACUAUGCUCCAGCCAUCCAGAGAUUUUAUAUCCCUCACAAACACCAAGUUUACCCCAUUUAGUCUUUAUUCCUGCUGUUCUCUUGGUCUAAAAUGUGUUUUCUUCAGAUCUUUUCCUUUUAAAGUUUUGUUUAUUUACUAUAUAAGAGAUAGGGGCAGAGCAGGAUGUCCAGCAGACUCCCCACUGAGCACGGAGCCGUAUCUCACAACCCUGAAAUCAUGACCUGAGUUGAAAUCAAGAGUCAGAUGCUUAACUCAUUGAGCCACCCAGGCACCCCUAUCUUCUUCAGAACUUCAUAUGUCUGCCUUUUCUCAUUAUUUAGAUACUGCUUCAAGUGUCACUUUUUCAAAGAAGCUGUAGAGAUAUUGUCUGUUACCUACUCAGCAACUGAAGGUUCCUGGCUCCCACCAUGGAAGUUCCUGAGGGUCAGAUAUUCUUUCCCUGCCUGUGGAAACGAAGAUGAGGGCACAUGACUCAAAUGCAACUAGUUUGUUCUCCACUCUGGGUUUCAAAUCUCAAGACAAUGGUGAUGCCUGGGGGCAGGGGCGGUUGUAGUUUUCACAGCAGCUCUGAUGUCAUGGAGAGUCCAGGAGAAUGCUGGCAGUAGCUAAGGUUGGUGGCGUUCACCACAGUGAUGGUUGUCCAGUGACAGUGCUCUGGACACUGGCGGGGUGGCUAUUGUGGGGCUAGUGUGCCGACUGCUAUGUGAUUUUAUCUUGGUUGUGUUUUACCUGCUGUAGGUCCUGUUGAAGCUGAGGUCUGCAGCCUAUGUAUCAAUGCUAUUAGCUACCUGAGAUUCUUGCCCAAAAUGUAUUCUCUGCUUAAGUUAAGCAGAGUUGUCUUUUAUUGUUUGCAAACAAGGACCCAUAGCAAAGAAUUUCCCAGAAAACCUAAGCUAAGGCAGCCAGCCCCCUACCCUGGUUAUUCUGUGCCUAGAGCAUUCAGUUCUUUAUAGCAUGUACCACUACUUGGAAUAAUUAAGUUGUGUAUCUGUUUUUAUCUGUUUAUUGUGUAUUCCUCCCACUGCAAAACUGUCCAUUCCAUGAGAAUAAGAACUGUGUCUGUAUCCUCUGUAUCAACUAAAAUAAUGCCAGGCACAUAAUUGGUACUGAUAAAUAUUCAUUUCAUAAUGAGAAAGACAGUAGAAUGGAUGGUAGACACAAGAUUCAGGAAGACCUAAGGACCAAAAUCAAUGUGAAGAAAUUUAUUUUUUUAAAGAUUUUAUUUAUUUAUUCAUGGGAGACACAGAGAGAGAGAGAGAGAGAGACAGAGAGAGAGAGAGAGA